GUGAGUGAGAACGAAAAGCACGUGAGUUUCCUAAACAAUCGAACCCUCUUCUGUAAUUACUUAAACUUUUCACUCCUGAAUUCAGAAACAUUACAUAAAUACGCCGCUGAAGGAAUUGGAAUUGAAUUCCGAUGGAACUCUCGCGCUGAAACCCUAGAGAGAGAACAAUGUCCGACGCGUUCUGCAGCGAUUGCAAGAGGCACACGGAGGUCGUCUUCGACCACUCCGCCGGGGACACCGUCUGCUCCGAAUGCGGCCUCGUCUUGGAAUCUCACUCCAUCGACGAAACCUCCGAGUGGCGAACCUUCGCCAACGAGUCCGGCGACAACGACCCCGUGCGUGUCGGCGGUCCCUCCAAUCCGCUCCUCACCGACGGCGGCCUCUCCACCGUCAUCGCCAAGCCCAACGGCGCCUCCGCCGAGUUCCUCUCCUCCUCCCUCGGCCGCUGGCAGAACCGCGGCGCCAACCCCGAUCGCGGCCUCAUCCUCGCCUUCAAAACCAUCGCCACCAUGUCCGAUAGGUUGGGACUUGUUGCAACCAUCAAGGAUCGAGCGAAUGAGAUAUAUAAAAGGGUUGAAGAUCAGAAGUCUAGUAGAGGAAGAAAUCAGGAUGCAUUAUUGGCUGCUUGCCUCUACAUUGCUUGCCGACAAGAAGACAAACCUCGCACUGUGAAGGAAAUUUGCUCUGUUGCCAAUGGAGCCACAAAGAAGGAAAUUGGCCGAGCAAAAGAAUACAUAGUUAAACAACUGGGUUUGGAGAAGGGACAAUCUGUAGAGAUGGGAACAAUACAUGCUGGGGACUUUAUGAGACGUUUUUGUUCUAAUCUUGGUAUGAAUAAUCAAGCUGUUAAAGCUGCUCAGGAAGCUGUUCAGAAAUCAGAAGAAUUUGAUAUAAGGAGGAGUCCCAUAUCAAUUGCUGCAGCAGUUAUAUACAUCAUAACUCAGCUUUCGGAUGAUAAAAAGCCUCUCAAAGAUAUAUCAGUUGCCACUGGAGUUGCAGAAGGAACCAUUAGAAACUCAUACAAGGAUCUAUAUCCCCAUGUUUCAAAAAUCAUACCAAACUGGUACGCAAAGGAAGAGGAUUUGAAGAACCUAUGCAGCCCUUAAAGCAAAACAAUAGUGACCACAUUUAACAACUUAGAGCCAUUGGGACGUUCUGUUCUGAAUUUAACUGCACAUUCAUUUUGGUUUACUCCAAUUUGAGAAUUCUAGGGGAGAGGCACCGUUCAUAUAUAUAAUUUGCUCAACCCUUUAUGGAAGUAAGUUUAUUCUGCACUUGUGUUGAAAUUUCUGGGUCAUACAUAGAGUUUAUAACUAUUUGUAACUUUGUAGUGUACACAAGAUACCUAUUGAAUCCGAAAUUGGUUGACGACUGAUUAAAAGCUUUGAACUAAAUGUUUGUCUACGUUUA